rnacentral:rRNA from 1 species
CACACCGCCCGUCACACCAUGGGAAUUGGAUCUACCCGAAGGUGGUGCGCCAACCUGCAAGGAGGCAGCCAACCACGGUAGGUUCAGUGACUGGGUG